AAGCGAAGACGCGGCGCUGAACGGGCGGAGGCAGGUGCACCGGAGAAAGGGACACGCCCAGAGCUCUCUCGGACCCUGGCUUGGCAGUGAGACUGCGCCAGAGAGGGAACCUCUAGGUCCAGUGACAACGCAGCCCGGUCCAGAACUAAACCUCACGCACAGCCAUCGAGGCACAGUGACGGACUGCCGCAGGUCGACUCUCGCAUCAGGACCCUCCUCCGCCCGGCGGCCAAACGAAUUCCCGCGCGAGGUGCAGACUCGCGAGGACGGAGCGGCGCCGCUGAGGCCUCCGGGAGGGAGGGGCGUAGGGCAGCCGCUGGGCGUUCUGGGCCGGGUCUCCAGGCGGCGCUGUGGGAAACCCGGGCUGAAAGGGCGUCGGCUCGGCGUGCUCUUGCUGGUCGUGGGGAGAGUCCGGGAGCAGUUCCGAGGCAGUGGCGGAGCCGCGUGGAGUCGGGGGUUCGGAGGAGUGUCCGAGGGAGCCGGGAUUGCAUCAAGUAACUGUAUCCAGGGGAUGGGAGAAUGAAAAGUCAUGGAGAAUUUGCCCCUGGAGAGAGGCAAGCGUUACCUAGGACCUGGGGUGGGCAACAGUCUGUGGAGCAGAGAGGAGGAGCCGCCGCAAUGUGAGGGACUGGUCAGGUGACAAAGACCGAAGUGCCGUUCUACCACAGCAAGGCCCAGAGUUGCUAAUCUGGAUUCUUCCAUGCAGACCUGGUCUUUCAGAGCGCCUUUCUUCUCCCCCCCGGCCUUGUCGUUUCAGCAUUCUGCUUUUCCUUUCGAGAAGGAAGAUCAGCCGAGUCCCAGGAGCUUACUCUGUCUUUGAGGAGUUAAUACAUACAUGUGAAAUAAUCUGAAUCAGUACUGUCCAAUAGAACUUCUGUGAUCAGGUGACAGUGCCACCAGGAAACCAACAAGCAGACAGAUUAGCCCAGAUUCGUCUCCUAGAAGAAGUACCAGCUGAGAGAGUGGCAGAAUGGUUACACUAGAAAACUGGACGUAAAAGACAGAGGACCCUAUGGACUUUUUCCAAGGCCUGGGGCCUCUCCCUACGCUGUGCUGAUGUAGUAUGGGUCACCAGGCGUGCCCUUUUUGUUCCUUGCGGAGACCCUGGGCCAUUCCUCAGGAUGUAGGCUAAAUCACCAGAGGCAACCAACCCAUCCAAUGCUGGCAGGUGGAUUACGUUGGACCCUUAACCUCUCUCCAACAGUUGCCAAUAUGCCUUUAAUUGCAUAGACACAUAUACAGAACUGCUGCAGGCGUACUCCAGCACACGGGCCACACUGAAGACCACCAUAAGAGGCCCAGAUCACCUCUGCACUGCUUAUGGUGUUCCCAUGGACAUCAACAGUGACCAAGAUACUCAUUUUACUGGCCACCAGGUACAAACAUGGGCUGACCAAAUGGACCAUACAUUGGCAUUUUCACCAGCCAUACAACCUCACAGCCACGGGGCUGGUAGAACAAAUGAAUGGCUUGCUGAAACAACAAUUAAGGACAGAAGAAAGGACCCUAGCCCACUGGCUGAGAUGCCUAACAACUGCAAUACGUCAACUAAAUGAACAUGAGAAACAUACCCAACCCAGCGCGUAUCGGAUGUUGAUACAAGGACCCGAUCCAACUGUAUGCCUACAGACAAGAGCACACUAAGUAGAAACUAUACAACCACAAAUAGGCACUCAGAACAACUUGCUUAUGCCUUUGCUAUAAGAACUCCUACUAGGACCCACGUGAUCACUUGGCCCUGGGACUGCCAGGUGGAGCCCCACUGGUGUGGUCUCUUAGCCACUUGGGGGACAGGCUUAGGACAAGAUAGUAACAGCCUUUAUUGUGGGAGGACCACCCAAAACCUCCAAACUUAGUAAUCCAGGGCCUCCAAUUCCCCAAGGCACUUUCAUCCUAUCCCUCUGGUGGUGGUGUUCCUCCCUUAUCCUACACCACUGCCCCUGUGGCGCCCAACCCAACUGGACAAGUAGUAUGAUAUUGCUGUCCUCAUCUAAAACCAUAGGCCAGUACCACACUAACGCAAGACAUUGCAACCACGUGUGUCUUGUUGGAUGGUCAUGACCUCCCUGUUUUAGUUCCCUCUAAAUGUCUUACCUUUUGUCCUUAAGACAAGGUCUGCCAACCUCUUCACUGAUUGGGCGUACGUUGUUGCUCACAAAAUGGCUCCAACUGCUAGGUAUGUAGCAGGCAGCCUCUCUCUUUGACCACGUAGUUACCAUGGCAUCUCCAAGCUGCCAACGACUGACUGGAGAGCCCUGCACGAUUGGAGGAAUGCUUACCACAUUCCUGUUCCUCCUCCCCUCCCACCAGCAGCCUUUCCUUGCCCUCUUAUAAUGCCUCUUGAGAUCAUAUGUUUCAGCUUGUGCGUGAGCAGGUUAAGACAACCCCAAAAGCGGAAUACUCCGUUUUUGAUGGUGUAAGAUGGUUGCAAUGCUCCUCUAUGUGUCUGGCCUGAGGGGAUCCACGGAAGAAUGGCGUGAUAAGAUUGUAAGGGCCAUUUGGACACAUAGAGGGGUGGAGUGUAGGAUCACACUUGCCCAGCAAUAACCUACGUGUCCUAUAGUAAUCGUGUCCCCUAGCCUCCUUCCUAGGCAUGACGCCAACCAUCUAGUAGUGUAAUGAUUCAGGGCCUGGCCAACCUGGAUCUGCUUAUCUCAAAGAACAUCAUGUCUUGAAGGAACACAGAGCCCUUCCAGGUGAGCUACUGGUCCUUGGAAUGCUGGUCAUGUGAGGACAGUCCCUCUUGGCAGGCAUGUAGCCUUUGUUCCCCUGCCUACUUAAGCAACCCCCUCUCAGUUCUUGGUAAUGGUGUGCAACUCUGUCCAGCUGGCUGCUCCUGGACUCCCUGUGUGUAGUUCCCAAUAAACUGUUAAGCUCAUACACCAUCUCCAAGUCUUUUUUUCGGUCUCUUCCACUGCGUUUCCAGAACUGCUUGCCCAACUAGGUGUGCAGUCAGACAGGAACAGUUUGUAAUUGAGAUUUAUUUUCCUAGUCAAGGACUUCAUGUCAAAGAAACUGUCAAAGUGGCCCUUGGUAAACUGUCAGACAUUGGUCCAACAUUUACAAAGAUCUGUAUUCGCUUAAAGAAAUAAUAUCCUAAGUCAGUAGAAUUUUGAAGCAGAAAAGGCAAACCUCAAAUCUCCUUUUAUGUGAAGAAAUUGAGGCCAAGCAAGGUGAUUUGCUGAAAGUCACACACAAUGUUAGUGCCAGAUUUAGGAAUAAAACUAUUUUGCACUUAAAAAAUUUGGCCAAGUGUUUGUAUGGAUGAUCCAAGGAGCUGUAUUAUUGUAAAUUGUACCCAUACCACAACUCUGUAGCAGUACUGCUGGGUCUUAAAUAAAUAGAGUUCUUUAAAUAAUGUAAAUAUAUAAUUAGCCAUGAUUCUUUUUACAUCAUUGGAAUUUGAAAGUGCUUUUGAGAAAUUUUUUAUUUGAAUAAUGCCUUUCUUUAACAUGAU